rnacentral:misc_RNA from 1 species
GAUGAAGAACGUAGCGAAAUGCGAUAAGUAAUGUGAAUUGCAGAAUUCAGUGAAUCAUCGAAUCUUUGAACGCACAUUGCGCCCCUUGGUAUUCCGAGGGGCAUGCCUGUUCGAGCGUCAUUAUAACCCCUCAAGCUCAGCUUGGUGUUGGGGCCUGCUGCACUGGCAGCCCUUAAAAUCAGUGGCGGCGCCAUCUGGCUCUAAGCGUAGUAAUUCUUCUCGCUAUGGGGUCCUGGUGGAUGCUUGCCAUCAACCCCCAAUUUUUCUAUGGUUGACCUCGGAUCAGGUAGGGAUACCCGCUGAACUUAAGCAUAUCAAUAAGCGGGG